AUAAUACUCCAUAGAUUAGAGACACUGGAAUGUUCUUUAGUCGAAAGUUCUGGCGCCUUAGGAUGGAUCUGCGGUCGAUUAGGUUGUUGUUGGGGUAACGGCCCAACAAGCCUGUAAUCGAUACGGGUUGUGGGAGCAAUAGCCCGGAGAUGGAAUCUGAGACAAGAUUCCAGGCCCUACGGGGCGCAGCAGGCGCGAAAACUUUACAAUGCAGGAAACUGUGAUAAGGGAACCCCGAGUGCCCGUAUACGCGGGCUGUCCAGGUGUUUAAAAAUCAUCUGAAGAAAGGGCCGGGCAAGACCGGUGCCAGCCGCCGCGGUAAUACCGGCGGCUCGAGUGGUGGCCACUAUUAUUGGGCUUAAAGCGUCCGUAGCUGGACUGAUAAGUCUCUUGGGAAAUCCGCCGGCUCAACCGGCGGGCGUCUAAGGGAUACUGUUGGUCUAGGGACCGGGAGAGGUGAGAGGUACUCCGGGGGUAGGAGUGAAAUCCUGUAAUCCCCGGGGGACCACCGAUGGCGAAGGCAUCUCACCAGAACGGCUCCGACAGUGAGGGACGAAAGCUGGGGGAGCAAACCGGAUUAGAUACCCGGGUAGUCCCAGCCGUAAACUAUGCGCGUUAGGUGU
rnacentral:rRNA from 1 species